CCAAUGUAUCUAGGCCUCUAAAAAUUGAAUUUUAUGGUGAACAAAUAAUUCUAAGCUGGCUAUGUUUGAGUAGGAAAGUAGAGCAUCAUUAUUUAGUAGCCAUAGUCCUAAAUCUAAUGUAUGAAUUUCUAAUUUAAAAAAAAAAAAGCUAUAUUUGGAAGAGGUGUUGCUUUUAGAUUUGCAGCUGAACUUGGUCUGGUUUUGUGUCGUUUCCUAUUUAAAACUUCAGGUGUGGCUUUCAACCCUUGAUGUUCUUGUACUGAUCACUUGCCAUACAGGCAUAUCAGGCAGGACAUAGAACCUAGAGGCCACUGAGACCAGUAGCCGGGAGGAGAAAUAUAUAUUUUAAAAUGCACGGAAGACACGGAGAAGAAAACAAGGCUACCCAAAUCUGACGAUGCAGCCUCUUCUGGGAAGCAUGAUUUGUCUCCAAGACUGACCUCCUUCCAGUGCGUGUCCUUGGUGUGUGGACCACCAUCCAAGUAUUUAUUGAGAACACACUAUGUCUUAGGCCCUUUGCCUGGUGUUGAAAAUGCAGCUGGGAUCAAGACAGACACAUCACUUUAUGAGAUGGGAGAAAACAACCAUUUCCACUGGAGUCAGGUAAAGACUGCAGUUUUUCUGCCAAGAAAAGAAAAGAUUACAGAGGGAAAAAAAAGAAGACAGGAGGAUCCUUUGUUCUUGAAAAGAGACUUGAGAAAUUUCUGCCUCACAACAUCACACAGCUGUUUUAAACAACAUCUGAUGGAAUUGUUGCUGGUUGUAUUAAAAAAUAAUU